rnacentral:rRNA from 1 species
UUCCUGGUGAAAUNCGCUAGCAAACUAGCGGGCUUGCUGGGAAUACUUUUGGGCUNGGGAUCGGGAUAGGGCAGGGGUAUUCUUUGGGUAGGGGUUAAAUCCUUUAAUCCAUGGAAGACNUCCGGUGGCGAAGGCGUCUGCCUGGAACGAGUCCGACGGUGAGGGACGAAAGCGUGGGGAGCAAACGGGAUUAGAUACAAAACUUCUAAUCCGAUGAUACCAAAGAUGAUUGGAAUUUUGCUAGAAACCCCGAUAGUCCACGCUGUAAACGAUGCCCGUUUGAUGCUGCAGACUUUACGAGAGUUUGCAGUGUCGUAGUGUAGGUGUUAAACGGGCCACCUGGGGAGUACGGCCGCAAGGUUGAAACUUAAGGGAAUUGGCGGGAGAGCACACAAGGGGUGGAUGCUGCGGUUUAAUUGGAUUCAACGC